rfam:Desulfobulbus sp. Tol-SR contig_70, whole genome shotgun sequence.
AGGAGCCGUGUGCGUGAAUAGCGCAAGCACGGUUCUGUGAGGGGCUUGCUUCAACAUAGAGAAUGCUGCUUGUCAUCGAUGGCACGUAGUAGCCGCGUGCGGCGAGGCGUUCUGAAAAGCCAAUUGGUGAAAGCGUUGUUCCUUGUGGAGAAGUCGGUCUACUCGAC